rnacentral:rRNA from 1 species
GAUGAACGCUGGCGGCGUGCCUAAUACAUGCCAGUCGAGCGAACGGACGAGAAGCUUGCUUCUCUGAUGUUAGCGGCGGACGGGUGAGUAACACGUGGAUAACCUACCUAUAAGACUGGGAUAACUUCGGGAAACCGGAGCUAAUACCGGAUAAUAUUUUGAACCGCAUGGUUCAAGAGUGAAAUACGGUCUUGCUGUCACUUAUAGAUGGAUCCGCACUGCAUUAGCUAGUUGGUAAGGUAACGGCUUACCAAGGCAACGAUGCAUAGCCGACCUGAGAGGGUGAUCGGCCACACUGGAACUGAGACACGUCACAGACACUUACGGGGGGCAGCAGUAGGGACUCCUACGGGAUGGGGGAGUGCGUGACAGAGCACAGCCGCGUGAGUGAUGAAGGUCUUCGGAUCGUAAAACUCUGAUAUUAGGGAAGAACAUAUGUGUAAGUAACUGUGAACAUCUUGACGGUACCUAAUCAGAAAGCCCCGGCUAACUACGUG